GAUUGGUGGAUUGAGGGGGGCGGUAACUAUACAUUCAGGAAGAGGUCCAUGGACUGUAAACUCUGCUAGCUUGCUAUUUGAAUCCGAUGGAAAAAUAACUCCGUUUGGUCGUUAAAUCGUCGUUAACCAUGUCUGCAAGAAACCCGGGCAUGCCCCUUGACCUGGAAUGGGUGUCCAAGGUGCGGGUGAACACCCAGGCAGUGCUGAAGAGAGCUCAGCAGAUCCAAGGACGCAAUAAGAACACGAAACAAUGGCAGGCGGCGUGGCUGCUGCGGGCGGUGACCUGUAUUGACCUGG